GACGUAGGAGGCGAGCGUUGUCCGGAUUCAUUGGGCGUAAAGAGCACGCAGGCGGUUUGGCAAGUCUGAUGUGAAAUCCCGGGGCUCAACCCCGGAACUGCAUUGGAUACUGCCUUGCUAGAGUACUGGAGAGGAGACUGGAAUUUACGGUGUAGCAGUGAAAUGCGUAGAGAUCGUAAGGAAGGCCAGUGGCGAAGGCGAGUCUCUGGACAGUAACUGACGCUGAGGCACGAAGGCCAGGGGAGCAAACGGG
rnacentral:rRNA from 1 species